AGUCUCAGCCGGCAGCUAGCCACAUAACUGACAUAUCUAUAAGCAACUAUUUACCAGUGGUGCACUCGAUCAUUCUCUGAGGGACUGUUCUUGUUUGUUUGGGUGACACCGCAGGACUCGAUGGACGGUUUAAAAAAAUGCCUUUUUCCAGCAUCUCGCAAACAGUGUCAGCAGUGUCUCUAGACUAUUUGCCUACUGAGCUGACGAGGAGCUGGGGUAGUUUUUUUUCUUCACAUCUCAUGCCCUCAGCCUGUGCCUGAGUGUAUUGCCUAACUGUGUGUUAAUAACACUAAACUACCUACUACAUAACAUUCUAUAUCAAGUUGAGAGUUGCAAUUGGAACAUUGCAUUCCAAAGUUAGUGUCCAGUGUCCCCUACAGUUCCUGUGGCUUUGAAACAAGUAGGGCUUUUUGUCAGAAUUAAAAAGCUACAGAUGCUUUAAAGAGAAACAGAGUAAAUUAGCAUGUCCUGUUUAUCUCAAGUCAACUUCCUCUUUCUGUAAAAGGAGUGGACACAGCAAAACUGUGGGAAGGAGUAGGUGACGACGCCAUGAAGUACAAAAUAUCAAGUGAUGCCCGAAAAUGUGUCUUUAGGAUGUCCCCGGAACGUCACACAAUCCACGGACAGCACAAUCGCCAUUUCACUGCAAGCAGCCCUCACACACCCGGACAAGAGGAAUGCAUAUCUGAGGAUGCUGUUCAUUGACUACAUUUCGGCCAUCAAUACCAUAGUGCCCUCUAAGCUCACCAGAAAACUCACAGGACUGAACUCUUCCUUAUGCAACUGGGUCCUGGGCUUCCUGACGGGCAGCCCUCAGGUGGUGAAGAUAGGCAACAUUACCUCAUCAACACGGAUUCUCAACACAGGCGUCCCACAAGGGUGCAUCCUCGGUCAUCUGCUGUACUCCCUGUAUACCCACGACUGCAUGGCCUCAAACAGUUCCAACUCCAUCAUCAAGUUCACUGGCGACACAACAGUAGUAGGCCUGAUUACCAACAGCGGCGAGACACCAUACAUGGAGGAGGUAGGCAUUUUGCCGAUGUAGUGCCAGGUAAACAACCACUCCCUCACCUUCAGCAAAAUAAAGGAGCUGAUUGCAGACCUCAGGAGGAACCAGGUUGGACACGCCCCCAUCCUCAUCAAUGGGGUUGCUGUGGAGACGGUCUCACACCGUGGUGAGAAGGGCUCGACAGCAACUCUUUAACCUCAUGAGGCUGAUGAAAUUCGGCCUUUUCCCAAGGGGCCUCACAGUAUUCUACAGGAGCACCAUCAAGAGUAUUACAGCCUAGUAUGUCAACUGCAUCACAGCCUGAUACCGACAAUUACCCUGCCCACACCUUAAUGGACAUUUGUAUUUUUCAUUGUCACAGUUGUAAAUAUGUAUUUUUUAUGUUUUUAUUAUUGUUUCAUUUACACCUGAACUGUUAGAUCUCAGAGUUUAAGUAUUUCACUGUACACUGCUAUUACAUCUGACCUUAUGCAUGUGACUAAAUAAACAACUAAUCUAAAUGCAA